rnacentral:rRNA from 1 species
GACGGAGGGUGCAAGCGUUGUUCGGAUUGACUGGGCGUAAAGGGCGUGUAGGCGGACCUAUAAGUCUAUUCUGAAAGCUCCUGGCUAAACUGGGAGAGGCGAAUGGAGACUGUAGAUCUAGAGUGAGGAAGAGGAAAGUGGAAUUCCGCGUGUAGUGGUGAAAUGCGUAGAGAUGCGGAGGAACACCAGUGGCGAAAGCGACUUUCUGGUCCU